UUAAGUUCAGCGGGUAGUCUCACCCGAUUUGAGGUCAAGGUUCUUUGUGGGUCCAGCCUCCCGCUAUAGACGGCGGCGACCGGAGCACCAUCGCUGUCCACGAGACAGUUAGGAGCGGAGAAAACAGUGCCAAAUCCAAAACGUAGAAACAUCUUAUCACGUCAAGGACCAGCAAAGCGGACCCCACUAAUUCAUUUGAG
rnacentral:misc_RNA from 1 species